CCCUUAGAUGUCCUGGGCCGCACGCGCGCUACACUGAUGCAUGCAACGAGUUUAUAACCUUGGCCUGAAAGGUCUGGGUAAUCUUUUGAACGUGCAUCGUGAUAGGGAUAGAUUAUUGCAAUUGUUAAUCUUGAACGAGGAAUUCCUAGUAAACGCGAGUCAUCAGCUCGCAUUGAUUACGUCCUUGCCCUUUGUACACACCGCCCGUCGCACCUACCGAUUGAAUGGUUCGGUGAAGAUCUCGGACUUCGAUAUUUAUUCUUUAUUGAGUUUAUAUUGUGGGAAGUUAUCUAAACCUCAUCAUUUAGAGGAAGGUGAAGUCGUAACA
rnacentral:rRNA from 1 species